rnacentral:rRNA from 1 species
GACGAACGCUGGCGGCGUGCUUAACACAUGCAAGUCGAACGGUGAACUCCGCUUGCGGGGGGAUCAGUGGCGAACGGGUGAGUAACACGUGGGCAACCUGCCCUCGGCUCUGGGAUAACUCCAAGAAAUUGGGGCUAAUACCGGAUAUGACCGCUGACCGCAUGGUCUGGUGGUGGAAAGAUUUAUCGGCUGGGGAUGGGCCCGCGGCCUAUCAGCUUGUUGGUGGGGUAGUGGCCUACCAAGGCGACGACGGGUAGCCGGCCUGAGAGGGUGACCGGCCACACUGGGACUGAGACACGGCCCAGACUCCUACGGGAGGCAGCAGUGGGGAAUAUUGCGCAAUGGGCGAAAGCCUGACGCAGCGACGCCGCGUGGGGGAUGACGGCCUUCGGGUUGUAAACCUCUUUCAGCAGGGACGAAGCGAAAGUGACGGUACCUGCAGAAGAAGCACCGGCCAACUACGUG